CAUUAACAAACGCCUUUAUUGUUCAGUCAGCAGAUGAUAUCCUUAAUCUCCUGUUUUCACACUCCAUUACUGCUGUGAUUAAGCGAGCAUAUGUCUGACUGUCAGCUAAUUUUCUCUGUAUGGUUAUGUCAACUGUAAUUCUGCAACCACAGGCGGACGAAUUAACGCGAUUACAACCACAGGCGGACGAAUUAACGCGAUACCAGGUUUGGCGCGGAUACGGACAAAUUAUGCGAAAGAGCCGCCCCGCCGCUAUCCAGCUGAUCAACGGAUACCCGGAGAUCAACAGAAAACGAUGUGUCAAUUUGUAAAUCAUCGUAAUGCGGAGGCGGCGGGAUGGUUUCCUGUCGCUCAAAGAUACACGGCACGGAUUUGCGAGGCCGAUAGAUGGACGGAUGUGACACAGCCAAUUGGUACGUGGGUGGCAGUUCGUUGAUCUGACGCGCCUCGCCCCAGCGGCGGCGGUUUCUGUUAUGGCUAGACUGGCCUGCCGUCGCUCCGGGCGGAAGCCGGACGGUGUCAACGGCGGAGAGAGACUGCGAGCGCUGCCGGUGGAGACGAUGGUGCAUGGCGUUCAACAAACGCAUUCUCCGCGUUACUUCCGGAGAGUGGAGACCGGAAUUACCGGUAGAACCGGUGUCGUUGGGUCGUGAACUCACCGUUGUUGCGCCCGCUUCCGGAUGGCCAUUUGCACGGACACCCCAUCGGCUGUAGCAAUAGCGUGCGAAUAGUUUGCAUCCCAACACAAUCAAUACGGUAACUGAAAUGAUGUUUUUACAGAUGUGCAUUAACAUGAAAUAUCAUACCUGAAUGUGUACGUAUGCAUUUCAUAUGUUUAUGCAGUGAUUAAUUAAAUGACAAGCUAGUAUCAAAGGUAGCAGCUGUAUAACCUGCUGCCCAAACGCCGAAAAAUAUGCCAACGGUACUGGUCUCCAUAUAAAAUCCGCGGCGUAAUCACUUCCUCAAAAGGUAAGAUGUCCGAAGGACCGGUAGAAGCGGGUUCAACGCCAAUGGAGGCUUAAUCAACAAACACAGGCCAUGCAUGUAAUUUUUCACAUCCCAAAAGCCAGAGAUUCCUGUUGCGCGAUGCAGUACGUUUCUGUACUUAAUUAUCGAUAUAUGGACGGUAACAGCGCAAUGAUCGAUCGUUAAUCAGACCUUCUACAAAUUCCUCUUCCAAAACUGUAAGAAGAAUUCCAAAACAUGUGAAUUACAUGUGUCGAGUGAUACGAGGCUGCACAACAUUUGUCAGGUAAAUCGCAAUCGAAAACGUUUGACGUAACAAAGUACAGAGUCAAUAAAACCUCUUACCAAAGUGCAGGGGUUUCUAUAAUUACCCGGAAAAGAUACGAUAGUACUGUACGUUUAACAUAGACUUUUUAUUUAUUGUGAUUUGAUUAUGUCGGCACCGCUCUGACUGCUACGAUAUCAGGCUGUUAUCAGACGGUUAACAAUGGCAAUAGACGAUUAAUCAUCCAACUGUCAUCACUGCACAUUUUACGGCUUGGAUGUGCUGCAAACAACAUGGAUAUUCGAAGAAAACUGGGACUGCCACCCGGAAACAUACAUGGCACAUGGACACACACGGUCCAACGACCCGCAUGGUGCAGCAUUGGUUAUCCAUAAGCCUGUGAUACAUAGAUAUCAUAGAUUCUGUUUACGGCAAAAUCCAAAGAUAAGCCAUUAACAAAUUUUGGUAAAUGGAGGUUUCGGCUAAAGAUGUGUAUAAAUCUUGCAACUUGAACAAACUCUUGUACUACCACAUGGCGCGUAUGGGGAUUGUGCACAACUGCAUGCAUGAGCUUCUGUCCCAUAUGUAAUUCCUUAACGUUUAAUAUUAACGAUAACUUAUGGCAGUGAGCGUAGACCCUAAAGGAGUUUUCAAUUGUCAUUAUUAGUAAAAUGCGUGAAGUGUAUUUAAUAAGGUGAAAACUCCGUACACACCCUUUCACACCCUUUCACUCCGUACACAACCUUUUGCACUCCCUUUCAUUCCGUGCACGACCUAUUUGCGCUACCUUUCAUUCCGUACACAACCUUUUAAUUUUUUUAAUUUUUUCACAGUAGUUAUUUCUGGAAUAAAAAAAAACGCGCAAUCUCGCCCGCUUUUUUAUUUGAACAGCAACGUUUUUUACUCUAAUCUCCGCAAGACCUGCUCCGUAACACUUGUUUAUUCAAUCUUCGCUUGCCACGUGAGUUAUUUGCUGACGCUGUCAUACACCAGGACGUCUUCGUCGGAACGGUCCCAUGAUGUUGCAGAAAAGUAGUACGAGUAGUAUUUUUUUGUAGUUUUGCUUUUCUGUAGUAAUAUAGAUUACAAGCGUUUCAGUAUAUUAUAUAUAAAUAUAUAUAAAAGUUUGGUAGUACACCGAGUGAAUGGUAGUGCGCAAAAAGGUUGUGCACGGAAUGAAAGGGAGUGCAAAAGGUUGUGUACGGAGUGAAAGGGUGUGAAAGGGUGUGUACGGAGUGGUCACCAUUUAAUAAACAUGUCUGCAUAAAUAUAAUAUAUUUUAAUAAAUAUAUUUUAUAUUAAUAUUUUAGUAAACAUGUUUGCGUUAACGAUUCGCCAUUCUUGCACGGAAAGCUGCUGCAAGCCGUAUACCGAUAUUUAUGUAUAUAUUAGACGAUAAUAUUAUCAAGUACUUAAUUAGAACAAAACAUUGUGUCUUUUGCAUUUAGCAAUCAGAGUAUCAUUUAUGUUUAUCAAUUCUUGUUAUAUAUAUGCGCGUUUAAACGGUUUGCUAUAGCCUAUACUUCGACGUUUUGCAAGUCUGGUUAUCGGCGGCGAAUUGGUAAGCAUUUUAGCGACCAGCUGUGGCAGAAACUCAGAUCUGCAUUGAAAUGCGGUGGUUAACUACCGGCCGAGCUGGCCAAACUUCACAAGAUUACGGGCUGUUCUGCCAAGUGCCACCCGCCCAAGAAAAACCUCCCAAGAAAAGCAACUGCGACUGAGCACUAUGUUCCUGUAUUUCCCGAGAACGAUUAUAUCACUGUUUUGACCGCUCCUUGCAUUGUGCUGUAACCUUCGUGGCACUUAUUUUUGGAUCAUCCCUUCGACAACCAGUAAUCCUGAUUGCCUUUCGCAGACAGCCGGUACAUCCUGGGAAUUUCGUGAUGCGUACUGUGCUGCUGGACUGACGGCCUGUCACAUACACCAUCGAUUGACCCGUUUGUAUAGAAGGGUACCCACGCACACGACGGCCCUGACCGCACUCGGAUAUCUGGUUUCCAAACCACUUCACAAUUCCCGUCAUCCAUAAAGAAUUUACUUCCCAUCUGCGUCGUCUACCUAACCAUAAGCAGCGUGGGAAGGUGAAAAUAUGAAUUAGGGAUGCUUAUGGAAAUAUCAGCGAGUUAUUCCGGGGUUUCUCCUGCGGCACAAUAGAGUUUUCAGAUUUAUGGUUUUGGUGGCAUCUGCCUUUUUGUUUACUAUGAGCAAGGGAAAAUGUGACCUUUUGCAUGGAGAGACCAGAAUACGGGCAGGUUAUUCCCGUACAAUGCUGACAGAAGAACAUUUCGAUCACACGAAAGCCAGACACACCCAUGUCGAUCGCAUCCUGCUGCGACUUUCGACAUCAAAAACAGCAGCAAUGGAUGACCUAUCCACCACCCACACGGAUCUGCGCGCGUUGCUUAAAUUACAGCCGUUGGAGCGUCCAUCAACGGCGCGACAGGAACACAGUGCUCUGGUGCAGUCCGGAAUCCUGCAGUCUGGCGAGGGCGCUGUGACCAGUACUUGGUAUCUUGGCCGAAGAAAGUGACCGUCUUACCUAUUUUUAUAUCAGCACUGUUUAAAUUUGUUAAAUUUUUAAUGUUUCAAUAAUGUUACAAUCGGAAUUCAGUAUUAUUCUUCAAAAAACAGAAAACGUGUUGAAACAU